UACCCAACUUGUAACCAUGCCUUUGUUUC
rnacentral:piRNA from 1 species